GCCGCCGCCGCCGAAGGGGAGACCGGAGCCGCUAGCGCCACCAGGGCAGCAACCGCCGCAGCCGCCGCCGCUGGGCUGAGGAGUCGGAGACGCAGGCGGACGAGGUGGCGGCGGCGGCGGAGCGGGAGCGGGGACCGGGCGCGGGCAGAGCGCGGCGGCGCGGGUGUAUUCUAGAGAACAAUUCUUCAAACACCUUUGCCAUAUUGACUCUGAGCUGUCAGGGGACUCAGGCUUAUGAGGAGGUACUGUCACAGAAAACAGUGUCUAGUGAAGACGACAAGAAAGAGGGAAAAGGAUCGGAAGAAGAAGCUAAAAUACUGUAGAAAACCAUGAGAUCUAUUAGAUCUUUUGCCAAUGAUGAUCGCCAUGUUAUGGUGAAACAUUCAACAAUUUAUCCAUCUCCGGAGGAACUUGAAGCUGUUCAGAAUAUGGUGUCUACUGUUGAGUGUGCUCUUAAACAUGUCUCAGAUUGGCUGGAUGAAACAAAUAAAGGCACAAAAGCAGAGGGUGAGACAGAAGUGAAGAAGGAUGAGGCUGUAGACUCCUAUUCCAAGGAUCAAGGUGGUCGGACAUUAUGUGGUGUAAUGAGGAUUGGCCUGGUUGCAAAAGGCUUGCUGAUUAAAGAUGAUAUGGACUUGGAGCUGGUUUUAAUGUGCAAAGACAAACCCACAGAGACCCUGUUAAAUACAGUCAAAGAUAAUCUUCCUAUUCAGAUUCAGAAACUCACAGAAGAGAAAUACCAAGUGGAACAAUGUGUAGAUGAGGCAUCUAUUAUAAUUCGGAAUACAAAAGAACCCACGCUAACUUUGAAGGUGAUACUUACUUCCCCUCUAAUUAGGGACGAAUUGGAGAAGAAGGACGGAGAAAAGGUUGCGAUGAAAGAUCCUCCGGACUUAUUGGACAGGCAGAAAUGCCUGAACGCCUUGGCGUCUCUUCGACAUGCCAAAUGGUUUCAGGCAAGGGCAAAUGGAUUAAAAUCAUGCGUAAUUGUCCUCCGAAUACUGCGUGAUUUGUGCAACAGAGUCCCCACAUGGGCACCAUUAAAAGGAUGGCCACUAGAGCUUAUAUGUGAAAAGUCUAUAGGUACUUGUAAUAGACCUUUGGGCGCUGGGGAGGCCUUGAGACGAGUAAUGGAGUGUUUGGCAUCUGGAAUUCUACUUCCUGGGGGUCCUGGUCUUCAUGAUCCUUGUGAGAGGGACCCAACAGAUGCUCUGAGCUAUAUGACCAUCCAACAAAAAGAGGAUAUUACCCACAGUGCACAGCAUGCACUCAGACUAUCAGCCUUUGGCCAGAUUUAUAAAGUGCUGGAAAUGGACCCCCUUCCAUCUAGUAAGCCUUUUCAGAAAUAUUCCUGGUCAGUUACUGAUAAAGAAGGUGCUGGGUCUUCAGCUCUGAAGAGGCCAUUUGAAGAUGGAUUAGGGGAUGAUAAAGAUCCCAAUAAGAAGAUGAAACGAAACUUAAGGAAAAUUCUGGAUAGCAAAGCAAUAGACCUUAUGAAUGCACUAAUGAGGCUAAAUCAGAUCAGGCCUGGGCUUCAAUAUAAGCUCUUAUCUCAGUCUGGCCCUGUCCAUGCCCCAGUCUUCACAAUGUCUGUAGAUGUGGAUGGUACAACAUAUGAAGCCUCAGGACCAUCCAAGAAAACAGCAAAACUUCACGUAGCAGUGAAGGUACUGCAGGCAAUGGGAUACCCAACGGGCUUUGAUGCAGAUAUUGAAUGUAUGAGUUCCGAUGAAAAGUCAGAUAAUGAAGGCAAAAAUGAAACAGUGUCUUCAAACUCAAGCAAUAAUACUGGAAAUUCUACAACUGAAACCUCCAGUACCUUAGAGGUAAGAACUCAGGGCCCUAUCCUCACAGCAAGUGGCAAAAAUCCUGUAAUGGAGCUCAAUGAAAAAAGAAGAGGUCUUAAGUAUGAACUCAUCUCGGAGACUGGUGGAAGCCAUGACAAACGCUUUGUAAUGGAGGUAGAAGUAGAUGGACAGAAAUUCAGAGGUGCAGGUCCAAAUAAGAAAGUGGCAAAGGCAAGUGCAGCUUUAGCUGCCCUGGAGAAGCUGUUUUCUGGACCCAAUGCAGCAAAUAAUAAGAAAAAGAAGAUUAUCCCUCAGGCAAAGGGUGUUGUGAAUACAGCUGUGUCCGCAGCAGUCCAAGCUGUUCGGGGCAGAGGAAGAGGAACUCUAACAAGGGGAGCUUUUGUUGGGGCCACAGCUGCUCCUAGCUACAUAGCUCCAGGCUAUGGAACACCAUAUGGUUACAGCACAGCUGCCCCUGCCUAUGGUUAAUACUUUUAAGCAGUUUUCAGCACGUUUAUCUCACUUUAUUCUCGUUCUCCUUGGACCUUCGUAGCCAUAUCACUUGUAUAAAAUAGGCUGAGAUAUAGUGACUGUAAGCUGUGGUCUCAGUAUACAAAGGUAGAAAGCAAGUUACUGUAAACCACAGAAAAGAAAGAGGAGACUGGGUGGCAUGCUUAGAAGGCUGUUGACUCGGAUGCUUCUCUCUUCCAGUUUGCUGCAACACCUUGGGAAAAAAAAAUCUGUACUUAACACCACUCGAGGCCUCCCUCUUGCCUGUUAAUCUUAGAAAAAAACAUACCUGUCUAUCCAUCCCUCUCUCUCUGUCCAUCUACCCAUUUAUCUAUCUGGACACAGUUGGGAAGUUGCUUUUCAGCAGAAAGAAGAAUGAGUAGAUGGUUGGUCUGAAUAAAGGGUGAGCAUCUUCCGGUCCGUCUCUGGCUCACAUGUGUCUACGUGGACCUCCGGAACCUCUGGAAAAAAGCGUACAGCGGCAUCCCUCUCUGCUGGUAGAGGUGAGCUGAGUGGGGAAUACAGAUCGAGUCCUGUGAUGCUCUAAGGUCAUAAAAACUGUGUAGACAGGAUCAGUGUUACUUUUAAAGGCAAAUAAAGUAGAUUUGCAUUAUAGUCAAGAGGCUUUUCUUCAAUCCAGGAGAUAUUUGUGUCAGUGAUAUCCUGGCAGAAGUGACCCCAUUCCUCAGCUGUAGCCCUCUGGGUGGAAUCCUUGCCUCAGUAACGAACACUGAGGGAAGGCCUCGGGGGUUCUUUUGUUUGUUUUGCCUUGAUCAGUCAGUUGUUAACACCUUAAUUACUUGGUCCUUCUAAGGAGGGUCUUAGGGUCUUUCUUGGCAGAACUCUGCUAUUUCUGCAAACAAACUAUGCUGUCUCUGCUGGUGGGUAGUGUGGAGAUUGCCACCAUCUGCCCAGGCAGUUUAAGAGUCAGAUUAGCAUAUCCUAGCUGGAGAUGUGGUCCUGAGUCAUCUUUUUGCUGCUUACGGCCCCCAGGAGGUAACGGGAUUAGCCUGCUGCAGUGAGGGCAUUCUGUUUGCGCUGCCUAGGAGCCUAGUCUCUCUCUGCUUUGUUUCAGUUUCUACCUUGAUCCUUUUGUGUGGUUUGGAAGAACAGUCUCUGCAUUCACAUGUCAGCUGAAUGUCCCAGGUAGUUAACAGUGGCCCUCAGUUUAGGUCAUUUUGGGCUGUGGGCAGCAGUGGAUGGAAGAAAGGAGAGCGGGAAGAGAGAUGCUAAAAUUGGUACCUUGUGUGUGCCAGGCACUUGGACAUUUUUCUUAUUUCUCAGCCUUCUUGAAGGUGGUAUUAUUCUUAUUUUACAGAUGAAAAAACUGAGGCUCAGAGUUAAGUGCUAGAGUCAGGAAUGAAAUCCAGCUCUGUUCAGUGCCAGAACCUUUUUCUGCUGUACCAUGCUAUGGAUUAAAAGUCUGGAAAGAAGGUGAGGAAGCAUGUCGGGGGACAGGAAGGUGGUGUGUGGGCAGUGAGGCAAGGCCGAAUGGAGCUUAAAAAGGGCCUGAACACAAGCCAGGGGCCUCACUGUCACAGGAUCUUUGGAGCUCACCGACUCAAGCCAAUCCCAGGCUCCCGUGCUAGAAUCUAGGCUUUGACUUGAGGUCAUUUUAGACCAGAUAUCCUGGGCUAAAAUAGGGCUGUUUUCUUUUAGAGCAGUUGGAAAAGAUUAACAAACUGGAAAGAUAGACUGGAGGGCUGAGGUGUGGCUGUAUAAACAGAGGAAGCUUUUGUAUUUGAAGCUUGUUUUUCUGUUUGAAUAUCAAUGAGAAAUUGAGGUGUGCGUUUUCAUUUAGCUAAUGCUUUCUGAGUACACGCUAUCUGGCCUGAGAUUGGUGAUGGGGAUGUCAUAAAAGAUUUGAGCCAGACUCUGAAGGAGAGCUGGUGAGGCUGGGCUCAUUGGGUCAAAGGAAGAGGGGUGGUCCAGGGUUGGGGUGUGAGUGCAGAGAGGUGGCCCUGGGCAAGUGUUGAGCAGAGACGGGGGUGAGGGGCAGAUAGCAGUGGCCUGUUCUGCUUGCCAGGAGUGUCCCCUGGACUCGGCUUCACGGAAGGCUGUGUGUGGUCCCCUCACCAGCUCCUCGGCAGAUUAGUGCUGGCUGGGUCUCUGCUUACGGUUAGGUGGGC